CACCUGUACAGUAUAUAUUGUAGAAGACUACAGUGAUAAUGUAUCAGGAAGCUUAGGAGUAUAAGGUUAACAUUAUCUACUCAUCAUGUUAUUCAAAAUUGGUUACGUUUUCCUGCUGGGUUUGUUCUGUGUGCUGGGCCAGUCUGAUGAGGUUGAUACGGCGCCUAGUGAUGUAGACUCUGCUCCUAGUGAGGUAGACAAUGAUGUAGAUGGGAUAGAUUAUAGCGAUUUGGAAUCUGACAUGGAUUGGGAUGCAGUAGCCGAUUUUCUAGAUAACGUAAGUAUAGCAUACCUUUCGCUAUGCCACCGUCUCUC
rnacentral:sRNA from 1 species